GUUACGAUGCAUGCGAAGGGGACUGGCGUGACGGACCUUGGGCCCUACGAGAAUGAGUAUGUAUUCAUACUGAAAACAACGGGAGAUGGGAAACUGGUGAAGGAAUCUUGGGAGUACAUUGAUUCGUAUCUCACUGUACAGGUUAUGGAAGCUGGGAACCAGACUCCGCUUUGAUGUGGUGACUUAAUGGUGGCAAGUGAAAGUCAAUCCAGGGAUGUCGAUGUACUUUUCACAAGA
rnacentral:misc_RNA from 1 species